rnacentral:tmRNA from 1 species
GGGGGCGAAACGGCUUCGACGGGGACGAUUGCGCGAGAGGUUGCAUGCCGAGGUUCACUCGCCUCGUAAAAAAGGGUGAAAAACAGUAGCUGCGAACAACAGCAACUUCGCUCUGGCUGCUUAAUUAAGUAGCCUCGUUAGCAUGGUGAGCGUACCCGCCGCGCUCCGCGCUGACGUCGCGAAAUGCGGGUGUAGCCGCUCCGGAUCCCCGGACGGAGUGGCGAAACACAUUCGGGGUUGCUCUUCCGCCGUUUUGCCUCUUCUCGAGGCGGUCGAGCGAGAAACAAGAAGAGGCUGAGCAUGGAGUGGCCUCUCCCGUAGCGCUUCCGGACGCGGGUUCAACUCCCGCCGCCUCCACCA